AGAGGUGGUCUAUCCAGAGGUGGUCUAUCCAGAGGUGGUCUAUCCAGAGGUGGUCUAUCUAGAGGUGGUCUAUCUAGAGGUGGUCUAUCCAGAGGUGGUAGUGUGGUCUAUCCAGAGGUGGUCUAUCCAGAGGUGGUCUAUCCAGAGGUGGUCUAUCUAGAGGUGGUCUAUCUAGAGGUGGUAGUGUGGUCUAUCCAGAGGUGGUCUAUCCAGAGGUGGUCUAUCCAGAGGUGGUCUAUCCAGAGGUGGUCUAUCUAGAGGUGGUCUAUCUAGAGGUGGUAGUGUGGUCUAUCCAGAGGUGGUCUAUCCAGAGGUGGUCUAU